rnacentral:rRNA from 1 species
GACGAACGCGGGGGCGUGCCUAAUACAUGCAAGUAGACGCUGAAGAGAGGAGCUUGCUCUUCUUGGAUGAGUUGCGAACGGGUGAGUAACGCGUAGGUAACCUGCCUUGUAGCGGGGGAUAACUAUUGGAAACGAUAGCUAAUACCGCAUAACAAUGGAUGACCCAUGUCAUUUAUUUGAAAGGGGCAAAUGCUCCACUACAAGAUGGACCUGCGUUGUAUUAGCUAGUAGGUGAGGUAACGGCUCACCUAGGCGACGAUACAUAGCCGACCUGAGAGGGUGAUCGGCCACACUGGGACUGAGACACGGCCCAGACUCCUACGGGAGGCAGCAGUAGGGAAUCUUCGGCAAUGGGGGCAACCCUGACCGAGCAACGCCGCGUGAGUGAAGAAGGUUUUCGGAUCGUAAAGCUCUGUUGUAAGUCAAGAACGAGUGUGAGAGUGGAAAGUUCACACUGUGACGGUAGCUUACCAGAAAGGGACGGCUAACUACGUGCCAGCAGCCGCGGUAAUACGUAGGUCCCGAGCGUUGUCCGGAUUUAUUGGGCGUAAAGCGAGCGCAGGCGGUUUGAUAAGUCUGAAGUUAAAGGCUGUGGCUCAACCAUAGUUCGCUUUGGAAACUGUCAAACUUGAGUGCAGAAGGGGAGAGUGGAAUUCCAUGUGUAGCGGUGAAAUGCGUAGAUAUAUGGAGGAACACCGGUGGCGAAAGCGGCUCUCUGGUCUGUAACUGACGCUGAGGCUCGAAAGCGUGGGGAGCGAACAGG